CCUGAGAUUAGCGGCGGACGGGUGAGUAACACGUGGGCAACCUGCCUAUAAGACUGGGAUAACUUCGGGAAACCGGAGCUAAUACCGGAUACGUUCUUUUCUCGCAUGAGAGAAGAUGGAAAGACGGUUUACGCUGUCACUUAUAGAUGGGCCCGCGGCGCAUUAGCUAGUUGGUGAGGUAAUGGCUCACCAAGGCGACGAUGCGUAGCCGACCUGAGAGGGUGAUCGGCCACACUGGGACUGAGACACGGCCCAGACUCCUACGGGAGGCAGCAGUAGGGAAUCUUCCGCAAUGGACGAAAGUCUGACGGAGCAACGCCGCGUGAACGAAGAAGGCCUUCGGGUCGUAAAGUUCUGUUGUUAGGGAAGAACAAGUACCAGAGUAACUGCUGGUACCUUGACGGUACCUAACCAGAAAGCCACGGCUAACUACGUGCCAGCAGCCGCGGUAAUACGUAGGUGGCAAGCGUUGUCCGGAAUUAUUGGGCGUAAAGCGCGCGCAGGUGGUUCCUUAAGUCUGAUGUGAAAGCCCACGGCUCAACCGUGGAGGGUCAUUGGAAACUGGGGAACUUGAGUGCAGAAGAGGAAAGUGGAAUUCCAAGUGUAGCGGUGAAAUGCGUAGAGAUUUGGAGGAACACCAGUGGCGAAGG
rnacentral:rRNA from 1 species